GAGUAGCAACAAGCUGAUUCAGGGAAUGGAUCUAAUGUAUAUAUGGACGUUAUCCAUUGAUGUGCAAGAAGAGAGUCGAAUGCCGUCUGUUGAAUCAUUAAGCACCGAACGACCCCCAGUGACUUAUCAAUUGAAGCGGCUGUUACAGAUAGACUGGGUGAUUAUGAUUCAAGACAGCUACGAAAUAUGUUACUUAGCAUUUCAUGCAAUCAUGGCACAGCGAAGGAUGCCGUUGACG
rnacentral:lncRNA from 1 species